rnacentral:lncRNA from 1 species
AUAAUAUUUUGGUUACUACCACUUGCUACAUUAUUCCAGGAGGGUGAGUGCUCUGAAAAAAGUGAAUACAAGGAAAUAAAAAGGGGCAAGUGCCCAAAAACUCGAAGAAAAGAAAAAGUGAGACGAGAGGUAAAAAUAGACAAGUGUCUGACAGUAGAAUUAGGGGUACAAGAUACCCACGUGAGAGAAAAGAAAAAGAAAAUAUAGAGCAUCUCAUUCUCCUCAAAAAGCUUCAAAGUGCAAGAAAGGUAUGUAUCCCCUCAAAAGAGCAAAAGUAGAAUUAGACUUUCACCAUUGUUUUCACCAUCAUCACCAUA